GUAGGUGGCAAGCGUUGUCCGGAAUUAUUGGGCGUAAAGCGCGCGCAGGCGGUCCUUUAAGUCUGAUGUGAAAGCCCACGGCCCAACCGUGGAGGGUCAUUGGAAACUGGGGGACUUGAGUACAGAAGAGGAAAGCGGAAUUCCACGUGUAGCGGUGAAAUGCGUAGAGAUGUGGAGGAACACCAGUGGCGAAGGCGGCUUUCUGGUCUGUAACUGACGCUGAGGCGCGAAAGCGUGGGGAGCAAACAGGAUUAGAUACCCUGGUAGUCCACGCCGUAAACGAUGAGUGCUAAGUGUUAGGGGGUUUCCCGCCCCCCUUAGUGCUGCAGCUAACGCAUUAAGCACUCCGCCUGGGGAGUACGGCCGCAAGGCUG
rnacentral:rRNA from 1 species